rnacentral:rRNA from 1 species
GAUUAACGCUGGCGGCGUGCAUAACACAUGCCAGUCGAACGAUGAAACUUUACUGACUUCUUCGGAAUGAUUUAAAGCGGAUUAGUGGCGAACGGGUGAGUAACGCGUGAGUAACCUGCCUUACACAAGGGGAUAGCCUCUGGAAACGGAGAAUAAUACCCUAUGAAACCAGACAAUCGCAUGAUAAUCUGGUCAAAAUGUUUAGUGGUGUAAGAUGGACUUGCGUCUGAUUAGCUAGUUGGUGAGAUAAAAGCUCACCAAGGCAACGAUCAGUAGCCGGCUUGAGAGAGUGUACGGCCACAUUGGGACUGAGACACGGCCCAGACUCCUACGGGAGGCAGCAGUGGGGAAUUUUGCACAAUGGGGGAAACCCUGAUGCAGCGACGCCGCGUGAUUUAGAAGGCCUUCGGGUUGUAAAAAUCUUUUGUAUAGGAAGAAAAUGACAGUACUAUACGAAUAAGGUCCGGCUAAUUACGUG